UGUGGUGUUUGUUUAAUGAUACAAGUCCAUCCUGUUUUCCAGCUGCACCUUGGAUAGUAUUGAUCUGUUUGGGAAAAUGUCUGCUUCGAAUCUGCAUAGAUCAGUCCCCAGGACUCUCAUCAUCCCACGUUAUUUUCUGGACAAAUUGGUGGAAAUGAGACCCAGAGUUUAAUCAUCCGCCAUUUGUCCUGUGAGAUGCCAAGACACCUCCUCAGAUAUCAAUUGGAAGAUAAGCAACAACUCUUUUGGAGUAUGGAUCUAGGUGAUAGAGUGAGGCAUAAUUCAUUAGUGCUGUUGUUACUAUCAGAAGUCAGAUCCAACUCCAAACAUAUAAUGUGCUGGGAUUAAAAAGAAAGAGUGAAGACUAAUAUAUAUGUGACUUAUCUUUGUCAUGGAAUGGUUAACUACUGAGAGAAAUUCUGUAUGCCAAGGACCUUUCUAGCUGUCCCAGGUUGGAUUUCCUGGUUGCAGACCUCCAGACAAAAGCUUCCUAGGGCAGUGAUUUCAAAGGUAGUGUCACAAGGAAGAUGAGUGAAUGGAUAGAAAAGAAAGCAGCCAAAAAAGAGCUGGAGGUCAACAAAGAUCUUGCUAAGGUAAAGUCCUACAGCACAUCCAU